AGGGUUUUGAGGAUGUUGGAGAAGUUGUUGCUGGACAUAUCAAAGGCCCUUUUGAGAGUGGACAUGAGAUGGGGAGGGAGGCCAUUGGUGGUAUGGUAGUGAGGUGGGAGUUCAGGCAAGUCAUCAUGUGGAAGAUGGAGUUCCACAAAUUCAAUGCAAUGAGAAUAUUUUUGGGAGAGUUUAGGCUUGAUGGAGCUGAGAUUUACAGGCGUGGAACAAAUAAAGAUGUGAAAAUUUCUCUUGGUGGUCAGCUUCUUGGCUAGCUCUAGGUAGGGAGAUAUAUGGCCGUGAGCUAGCCAUGGAAGCAUAAGAAUAGUAAGUUUUCUUUGGUCAGAGUAAACCAUAUUUUGUUUUCCUUUCACUCUUUUGCUUGAGGUUGCUCGAUUAUAGGCUUAUUGGUAGUUUUUUUGUAGCUAGCUCUAUGCAUAUAUAUAUAUAUAUACACACACAUUCAUGGGAAAAGAGGCUUGGGGAUGGGAAAUCAAUUGAUUUCCUAUGUUUGGUAAAGUUCGGGUAUGAGAAAUCGUUGCUUUGCACAUGAGAAAGUAGAGGGGAAAGUGAAGCCCUCCUCCUUCCUUAGGUUUUGUUUUCCUCCUCAUGGGAAAGUUUGGGAAAAUGAGCUAAUAUUAAAUACAUAUUUUUCAUGACCAUAUUAUCCCCAUUAAUAAUUUAGAAUUACAUAAAUGCAUUCUAUUUUUAUUUGAUUUCAUAUGGGUAUAAUUGAAAAAUUAAACAAAUUUUGUUUUACAUUCCUACACAAACCAAACAUGUGAAAGGAAAUAAAGUGGUAUUUCUUGGUUACUUUCCCAAGAUUACCAAACAUAGGAAAGGAAUCUCUAUUUCCCAUCCCUUAGAAAAUGACUUGGAAAGUAAUUUCUCCUCAAAUUCGUUCCGUGAACCAAACGGAACCUGCAUAAUAGAAGUUCCAAAAAAACACGUGAUGAUUGGAUCAUGCAUAUGUAAGUUCCCGAGUGAUGAUUGGAACAAGUUCCUAAUGAUAAAGACUCGAAACAAGAAUAGUUUAAACUUUCUUCUUUGUUUGGCUUGAUAUAAGACGAAUGCACCAAACAAACCGACUAAUUGCUGGCACAAUAUAAAUUGGGGCUACAAUUACCUAAUAAUUAGGUACUAAGGGCUACAAUUACCUAAUAAUAUCAACUUUCAUUAUACAGAUUUGAGAAACAAAAAGUUCAACUUUGAUGACAAGCGAUAUUAAAGGAGGGCGUAAUCAAACUUAGGAUCUUGAGUGUAGAAAUAAAUACUUUUAACAACUUGAGCUACAAGCCUUUUGUAAUAUUAAUGAUAUUUUAAUUAUACGUUUGAAUAGUUCGCUUCCUUCUCUUUUAUUUUCAUUUGUUUAUAUUUAACUCUAAUUUUAUUUAUAUUUUUGGUCAAGGUAAAAAGACUUUGAAUCUCUCUCCAAUGAUUUUCACAGCCGAAACUCCUUUAGUUUCCACAAAUAUUUUUUAAUAUUUCAUGCAUUUGUAAGUUUCCGACUCGGAUGGUUCAUGUAACCAAGAAGUUUAAACUUGUUUUUGCUUGUUCCGCCGACGAAAGCGCAACAAAAGGACAAACUACAACCAAUACUUCUAGUAUCACCAGUUCUCAUUGAAUUUGUUGCCGUGAAUGUUUAGGAUUCUGCCCAAACUAGUAUUUGCGUUUCUGAAUUGUUUGAAAACACAUAUGAAAUUAUGAUUUCUCCUCCCCAGAAGACAAAUUGACGAAGAAGUAUCAUGAUUUUGAUGACACAAAUUAGAAUCCAGGGUUUUCGAAGUGCCUAAUGGACAACUAUUAAUUUAGAAAUAUAUAUAUUUUUUUCGCAAUGCAGAAACACAUAAAUCCCAAGUUUGAAUUCAUCCUAUUUUUGUUUUUGUUUUUUCCUUUUUUAACCCAGAAGAAAAAUUGAGUGCCACUCUGCUAUGUAGAAUGCAAGUUUUAGUUUAGAUUUUUUUUUCUUUUUAGUCUCUUAUUCUACAUUUAGAUCUCAUAUAUUUACUCGCAUUUUAUUAAAUCUAAGUCAUUCAAACAAUCUGACCACUUAACAAAUUACAAGUACUCAAACUUAAAAUCAGAUUGGAUGGACAUGAGGCUUACACUGAUGAUUCUACACGUGCUGAGAAUAGUCCUUUUAUUUCUUUAUUAUUUUCUUGGUCGGGACUCGAGAGACAGGUGUAGUGUAGCGAUGGAGACGAGGCCCGCAAGACAUAAAAGUCUGAAGAAGAGAAGCGUGAAAGCUUCAUUUAGACAGUUAAGUGCAUACGUAACGUAAAGAUUCAAAGACUAUGUCCCUCUCCAAACAGGGAAAGAUCUGAGUUGAAAGCAACAAACUACAGUCACAAUAGGAAAGCAUCUACAACGUAAAGAAAAUAAGUUUACCAGAAGCAUCGGAAAGAUCUAGAGUCUGAAGAAGAGAUACUGAAGUAAUUGUUCAUCGACUGAGCUUAAAUGAAAUAUUAACUCUUUGUUGUGCCAUAAGCACAAGAUCUUAAGAAAAAAAUUCAAGAUAAACCAUAUAAUAUUUUCUAACCCACAAAAUAAUAUAGAAAAUAAAUGCAAGAACAAGAGAAUAGCAAGACACAACGAGGCUGCUUACAAUCAGUGUAAAUGAGCAAACAAAUUCACCAUCAACAAAUUAGCAUGCUUAUGAAGUGUUUUGCAACCUCACAAACCAAGGCGCCAUAUACACCAAAUGACUCUCACUGAAAAACUAAACAAAGAAACACACUCACACUAAUGAAAGCAACGUUACAAGGUAGGAGAUUGAAUAUUACAUUUACAAUACACUCAUAAGUUACAAAAACUAAUUACAAAUAUUUAGCGCAUAGGUUACAUAGAACUGAAAGGGUGGAAUGAUAAGAGCUAUGGUGGUCAUCCACCAACUCAUGCAUUUACAACACCGCCUCUUGAAUGUCCACCAUACAAUACAAUGAUAUAGUUGCGUCAUUAAACACUUUGCUUGAAAAACUAUAUGGGACAAAACUUAGGCUACGGGAAAAAGAGUGCAACACAAAUAAUAUUGAUAUCACAUUUGUCUCUCCUACGGAAUGAGCUUUGGUGAUGUUUGUAUAAAAAUUGCGUACAAACCAUUAUUGGAAGAUUGGGCUAGAGUGGGCUUUACCCUAGUGUUGACUUUGGAAAGAGACAAAUUAGGCUUAGUUGUGUAAAUUCAAUCCAAAAAAAAAUUAAAUAAUAGCCCACAUCUACAGCCAAAUACUUUAAUACUUUAAUUACUAAAGUUUUUUUUUCUUUCUCUCUCUUCUUUGGUUUAUUCAGCUUUUGAUUUGGCUCAAAUAAUGUUUAUAUCUCUCUUUGAUUUUGUUUUUUCAAAUUUAUUGAUGUUGCUUCUUUUGAAAAUUUUGAAAUAUGGACCCUCCCUAACUAAACCACUCCAUUGAGCAAAAGCCCUUGAGCUUCAAAUUUAUCUUCGUCUGAGCCUCUGAAUUUUGGUUUUUUUUAGGUUUUUUUUGUUUGUUGUAGGUUUCUUUGUUCACAUAUCUCUCUAAAAAUAGUAUUUUUCUUAAUGAAUUCUGAAAAUAGUUUUUAAUUUGAAGGAAAUAUACGGAAUUAGUAAAAAAGUAUACCACUUUCAUUAAUCUGAAGGAAAUAUUGCUUUAUAUAUAUUUGUUUAAAAAUAGGGCUUAUAAUUGAUCUCAAAAAAAAAAAAAAAACAAAUAGCCCACCCCUGUAAAUAUUCCUUAGUCCGCCAUUGCAUGGCAUAAUAUUUGGUAUGCUAUGCUAGCAUCUCAUAAGCUCUUCAAGAGACCUGAAUUUUAUGAUAACUUCUUAAAAAAUUUGAAUACAUUUCAACGAUAUUAAACUUGAAUUUGAACUCAUAAUUCAAUCAAAGUACUCAUUGAGGCAAUUUAGAUCAUUUUCAUUUUAAAAAAAUUGGGUGCACACAUUGAGCUUCAUGCUCUUUACCUUCUUAGAGAUUUUAUUUGAGGAAUUUAUAUUGCAUCACAUAUUACAUCUCUUAGGAUUUGUUCUUAUUAUGUAUUCUUUAAGAGAUCUAUUCUUGCAAUAUGCUUCAAACACUUCAUAAUCUUUAUGAAUUUUUCAUGUAGAUUUAAGGUCUCCAUGAAUAUUGAGAUUGAAACAAGGAGUAAAAGAGUUAAAAGUUUAAGAAAUUUUUUCCCUGAUUAUUUUGUAAUUAUAAUGUUGGUGAAAAUCCAAUUUCCUUUCUAGAAUUUGUGAAAUUUGUUAUUUGGCUAAGCUAAAAGUAUAAUUUUGACAAUAAAAAGCAUAUGAAAGUUUCUCUUUGGUUGGCUUCUUGGCUAGCUCUAGGAACGGACAGUGUGGCCAUGAGAUAACCAUGGAAGUAUAAUAAGAAUGCUUGGAUGCUGUGAACAAUCCAUUUUCUGACUCUUUUUCUUGAGGUGGUUGUUUUCUUAUGGCCCAUCAGAGUUUAUGGUCGACAGAUAAGCUUCAAACACAUGCAUUGGUCGUGUCAGUUGCGAUAAACUCUUCCCAACAAUCAACAAUUUCUAAGGUAAUAUCAUCAUUCAAUCAUGUGCUGAAUUUAGAAUUGUUUUCAAAUCAAGGAUUUGUUUUGGAACUCAGAUUUUAAAACAAUUAAAAUUUAAUUGGGAAGACUUUUUGUUUAAAGGAAGUUCGUUUCAAUUCAAAAAAUAAUUUUUCAGUUUUUCAACUCAAAAGUCUUCUCAGUUUUCUUAUUUUUCUUAUUGGCGAGUUUCUUGGUUAACUCUAGGAAGGGAGAUAUGUGGCCAUGAGCUAACCAUGGAAGCAUAAGAACGCUGACCAUGCUUGGAUUUUGAGAAGACUUCCUCUUUUUUUUUUCCCUGACUCUUCUUCUUGAGGCGGUGGUUGGCUUAUGGCCUCAUAAUAGUUUGGUGUUUUUGGAGAUCAUAUGGUGAUGAUCUGAUGGAGAUGAGUCAUAGUUUGUGCUAGUGCAUACGUAAUUCCAAUUUCCUGAUUCAGAUGGGAUAAACUCUUCCAACAAAUUAAGACUCUUAUCAUGCAUACACAUAAGAAGUGGAAAUUUGCUUCUGUCUUAGUUUGGCCUUGAUAUAGGACAGCUCAUAGGAAAGCAUCCAAAACAAUAUUCUUUUUAUUUUUUUUAUUUGAAUACAAGCGAUAUUAGGAGUGUGGGGAUUUGAACACAUGAUUUAGGGUACAGGGUAAUGCUCUUAACUAUAUGAGUUACAAGUCCCUUGCAAACAGUCUGAAAUACUAAAAAUAAAAAAUAGAUGCUCAUCCAUAUGCACUGUCAUGCCCCAACCCUUGGAUUUACAAAACCUUGUGUUAAGACGUGAUUCACACCUUAAUUAUAGAAUUUAAUAAAAACUAUAACUAAAAUGUGAAGAAAACAUUUAAAUAAAUAAAAUAAAUAUUUCACAUAGAAUAUUCAGUGGAAAUGACAACAUGUGAAAUCUUAAAAAUUUUACAUUAUCUUACAAGUUGGCGUGACUUGUGGAUAUUGACUUACUUUCCUUACACACCAAGAAUUCCUAUUAUAAUUGUAAUUGAUUUACUUUAAUUCAUGAUUUCCUACUGUAAAUAGAUUUAAGAAUUUAUUAUUUACUUGCCCAUUCAGGUUUCGUUGUAUUAUAAAUAUGACCUCCUACAAGGAGAAGAACAUACAGAAAAUUCCCACAAACAAAUAUUCUCUCAUAGUUUUCAUAUUUUAGCAUGGUAUCAGAGCGGCAAUCUUGGAAUUGCUGACUCUAGUUUCAAACCCCCGCCGCCGCUAUGGGGGUUGAUGAUUUUUUCAACCAUCAUGGAGGUAGCACCAUCGACUCCUUCUCUCAUUCUCAACUAACCAUCGUUGAGUUGAGUGCCCAGAUGGCUCCGCUCCUACAGAUGCAGACUUUGACCCCAAACCCGAUCCAGAAUCAGGAUCUUCUUUCGACAACCACGACCCCGAUCUCGACUAUGACAACGACGACCCCGACCCCUACUCUGAAGAUGACCCCGACCCCCACUCCGAUGACCCCAACCCCGAAUUUGUCUCUGAUUCAGAACCCGAUCCCGAUUUCGACUCCGACUCCGGCCUCGACUCAGGCUCAGAUUUCGAUCCAAAUUCCUACUCAACUUAUAUCCUAUGCAUCUUCCGCUGCACAGAUUAUGACUUCUAGACUAACGACCCCGACAUAUGGACCAGAUUGCACAUAUUGUGGUGAUCCGAGACACACUUGUGAGACUUGUUUUAAAUCGCAUGGCUACCCCGAUUGGUGGGCUAUUCUUACAGAUCAAGGACAAUGCACCAGUAAUGGUACUGGUUAUGGAUUCCAUACUUCCGAUAAGAUUGAUUCCAGGAGCUGGAUAAUUGAUUCUGGUGCAACUGAUCAUAUGACGUUUGAUCCUGAUGAUUUUCUGAAUACUACACAACCUCGACGAACUUGUAUUGCAAAUGCCAAUGGUGUUACUUAUCCUGUGACAGGGGCUGGCACUGUUGCACUCUCAUCCUCUCUCACACUGUCUAAUACUUUACUUGUUCCAUUUUUAUCCACUAAAUUGUUGUUAGUUAGUCAGCUUACUAAACAAUUGAAGUGUUGUGUACUCAUUUACCUGAGUUUUUGUUUGCUUCAGGAUAUUCACACUAAGGAGAUUCUUGGUCGUGGUACUAAGAGAGGGGGGCUAUAUUAUGUCGAUGACUUCAGUUCCGGCGUGCCUAACAGUGUGACACAUCCCUUUGAUAGCAAACAAAAGCAAAUUUGGUUGUGGCACCUUCGAUUGGGACAUCCGUCUUUCAGUUAUAUGAAGCAUCUUAUACCAGAUUUAUUCUUAGGUUUCAAGGACUCCGACUUCACAUGUGAUACUUGUAUUUUGGCUAACAGUCACCGUGUGCCCUACCUGUUGAGUACGAACAAGUGUACUUGUAAGAUCCCACAUCAACCAACGGAGAGGGGGUGAUGUGCCUUAUAUAUGCACACCUGCAUCCAUCUAGCACGAGGCCUUUUGGGAGCUCACUGGCUUCGGAGUCGUAGGAACUCCGAAGUUAAGCGAGUUGGGGGCUAGAGCAAUCCCAGGAUGGGUGAUCCACUGGGAAGUUGCUCGUGAGCUCCUAGAAACAAAACCGUGAGGGCAGAGAGAGGGGCCCAAAGCGGACAAUAUCGUGCUACGGCGGAGUUGAUCCCGAGAUGUGACAAUUUGGUAUCAGAGCCACUCUGCCGUGUGGUGCGAAUGUGCCGACGAGGACUUCGGGCCCUUAAGGGGGGUGGAUUGUAAGAUCCCACAUCAACCAACGGAGAGGGGGUGAUGUGCCUUAUAUAUGCACACCUGCAUCCAUCUAGCAUGAGACCUUUUGGGAGCUCACUGGCUUCGGAGUUGUAGGAACUCCGACGUUAAGCGAGUUGGGGGCUAGAGCAAUCCCAGGAUGGGUGACCCACUGGGAAGUUGCUCGUGAGUUCCCAGAAACAAAACCGUGAGGGCCAGAGAGGGGGGCCCAAAGCUGAUAAUAUCGUGCUACGGCGGAGCCGAUCCCGGGAUGUGACAAUUGUACUACUCCAUUUACGUUAAUUCACUCUGAUGUCUUGGGACCUUCGCCUAUCACUGCUCCUUCUGGUGUUCGAUGGUUUGUCACAUUCAUCGAUGAUUGUAUACAGAUGACAUGGCUUUAUUUGCUGAAGAAUAAAAACGAAGUGUUUUCCCGUUUUCAGUCCUUCCACAAACAGAUGAAAACUCAGUUUAAUGCUCAAAUCCAGAUUCUUCGCUCAGACAAUGGUGGAGAAUUUGUCAAUCAUGACUUUCAGACUUACUUCCAACAACAUGGAAUUAUCCAUGAGACGACUUGUCCUCAGACACCACAACAAAAUUGUGUUGUUGAACGAAAGAAUUGACAUCUUCUUGAAACCGCCCAAGCACUUCUGAUUGGCGCUCAUGUUCCUCGCUAUCACUGGGAUGAUGCUAUUGUCACCGCAGUUCACCUGAUCAACCGCAUGCCUUCUGGUGUAUUGACCUUUAAAACUCCCUUACAGGUGCUUGCGCAACACAGACCUCUGCUCUCUGUUUUGGUACUCACACCCCGAAUCUUUGGAUGUGUGGCUUUCGUUCAUCUCCACAAAAAUCAACGUAGCAAACUUGAUCCCUGUGCGCUUCGUUGUGUUUUUAUAGGUUAUGCCACUCAUCAGAAAGGCUACCGUUGUUAUCACCCUCCUACCCAACGAACCUAUGUCACUUUGGAUGUGACCUUUCUGGAAUCUGAGUUGUUCUUCCAUGACCCAUCAUCCAAUUCUACGCAUCAGGGGGGGAUACGAAGUGAAGAGCAGAAUUGAAGCAACUUGGGAAAUAAAGAAAUUUUCCUCUGUACAGAAAUGAUUAAUCAUCCUGAGUCUGGAGCACGAGAUUACUCUCUGUCGAAAAGCAACCAAUCGCCCAUUCAUAGCGAUCAAUUGCCUCACCUACCUGAUCCAUGUGAAGAUAUUUUUGAUCCGAGUCUCACACCUACAGACAAUACAGAACAACAAGAUGAAGACUCCCCCUCUAACUCAACAGUACCAACAGACCAAUCUCCUGAGAAUAUCCUUGAGGUAACUACUCCUACUAGAUUUGUGCAUUUAAAUGAUUAAACUAUUGGAUAUCAAUUACCUUUCAGGGAAAAUCGUGGGAAGCCAUCAAACCGUUAUGCACCUGAUAUUGGCAAGACAUCCAAGUAUCCAAUUGCAAAUCAUGUAUCCACUGAGAAGCUGUCUGAACAACUCAAGGCUUUUGUGCAUCAGUUGUCUGCGAUCCAUAUUCCAACCAAGGUCUCUGAAGCAUUAAAAUAUCCUAAGUGGGUCCAAGCUAUAAAAGAGGAGAUGAAAGCUCUUGAGAAAAAUCAGACUUGGACAUUAGAGACUAUACCUCGAGGAAAAAAGACUAUCAGAUGUAGAUGGGUGUUUACUAUAAAACACAAUGUAGAUGGAUCUAUCGAGCAAUACAAGGCAAGACUUGUGGAAAAAGGGUACACACAGACAUAUGGUAUAGACUAUGAAGAAACCUUUGCUCCAGUUGCAAAGUCAAACACCAUCAGAGUCUUAUUGUCCCUUGCAGCUAAUUUGGAUUGGCCACUACACCAGUUUGAUGUAAAGAAUGCUUUUCUACAUGGCGUACUCACGGAGGAGGUGUACAUUUACAUUCCUCCUGGAUAUAAUACUACUUAGACUGGAACAGUUUGCAGGUUACGAAAAGCAUUGUAUGGAUUGAAACAGUCACCACGUGCAUGGUUUGGACAGUUCACCAUGGCAAUGAAGAACAAUGGUUCAAACAGUGCAACUCAGAUCAUACUCUACUCUUGAAACAUCGAAAAGGGAAGGUAACAACAUUAAUAAUCUAUGUUGAUGAUAUGAUUAUUACUGGGAAUGAUAAACAGGAAAUAUCACAGCUACAAGACUAUCUGGCUACGGAGUUUGAGAUGAUGGAUCUAGGUGGACUCAAGUAUUUCUUGGGAAUUGAGGUGGCUCGAUCCCAGCAAGGCAUAUUUCUCUCUCAAAGGAAAUAUGUCUUGGACUUGUUGACAGACACAUGAAUGCUAGAUUGUAAACCUGCGAACACUCAUAUUGUUCAGAAUCAUCAUCUUGGAGAAUAUCAUGAUCAAGUUCCAACUAACAAAGAAAGAUACCAAAGGUUAGUAGGAAGAUUGAUCUAUUUGUCACAUACUUGACCAAACAUUACUUAUGCAAUGAGCGUUGUCAGUCAAUUUAUGCACUCUCCAAGUGAAGACCACACGAAUGCAGUUCUUCGGAUACUUAGAUAUUUGAAGUCUGCACCUGAAAAAGGACUUAUUUUCUGAAAGCAUGGUCAUAUAAAUAUUGAUGGUUAUUCAGAUGUAAUGUAACAGAUAGAAAAUCCACAUCCGGUUACUUAACAUUCAUGGGAGGUAAUUUGGUGACAUGGAGGAGCAAGAAACAGAAUGUAGUAGCUUUAUCCAGUGCAGAAGCCGAGUUCAGAGGCAUGACUAAAGGAAUUUGUGAACUUCUUUGGUUAAGAAAGUUGCUUACUGAACUUGGGUAUAAACCUACAUCCACAAUGAUUCUCUUUUGUGACAACAAGGCUGUUAUAGCCAUUGCACAGAAUCCGGUUCAGCAUGAUCGUACUAAACAUGUUGAGGAGGAUCGACACUUCAUCAAACAGAAGCUUGAGGCUAAAAUGUUUCAGUUUUCUUUUGUGAAAUCCGAGGAUCAAUUGGCGGAUAUUUUGACAAAGGUGAUUUCCAGUAAAACAUUCCACAAUUCACUGGAUCAGUUAGGCAUUGGCGAUAUCUAUGCACCAACGUGAGGGGAAGUGUUGGCGUGACUUGUGGAUAUUGACUUACUUUCCUUACACACCAAGAAUUCCUAUUAUAAUUGUAAUUGAUUUACUUUAAUUCCUGAUUUCCUAUUGUAAAUAGAUUUAGGAAUUUAUUAUUUACUUGCCCAUUCAGGUUUCGUUGUAUUAUAAAUAUGACCUCCUACAAGGAGAAUAACAUACAGAAAAUUCCCACAAACAAAUAUUCUCUUAUAGUUUUCAUAUUUUAGCAAGAACUACUCGAGAGUUUACUAAAAGAGUAGUUCAGUAUUCAUCCACAAGCUAUAUACACAAUACACUCUAUAGAUAUGCCAAAAUCAUCGCAAGCUCUAGAUUUUAGGUUCGAUACCUGCAAAAUCUAUUAGAAGGGUGAGUGAAACCACAGUUUAGUAGGGACAUAAACCUUUUCACGGUAAACUGAUAUAAUUAAAUUAAGUGAAAAAUAAUCACACAGCCAAAUAUCACAUUAUUAAUAACAAUGCAUGAAUGCUCUUCAUUUAACCCGUUAAUUCAUAUAAUUAGACAAGCUUCACGACCCAUACCAUGCUUAUACCACUUAGUCCCGAAUGCCAAUUUAUAUGAAUUAACGCCCAUUUCAAUCAUCCCAUAAUUCCCAUUUUGUUAGUCAUCUUGUCUAACUCCCUGUUGCCAGUCCUGAAUCACCAAAAAAAAAAAACCAUGUGCACUAUGGGAUCCCUGAGUACUAGUACCUGGCAAGAGUUAGACUCAACUACACAAAAGAUCAUUUCUAUUACCCUCUUAUCCACCAUUAUUUUCUCAACUUCAGAAUUCUAGCCAAAUUCCAUGACAUGAUAUAAUUAAAAUUAUGCCUUCACAACAAUGUGCCCAUUUAAAACAUCACUAAUGCACAUAUAAUUAUGCCCACAUUGUUCAAAUAGUUAAGAGUACGUAAAUACCCAAUACAUGGAACGUCAAUCAAACAGUACCACGCAUAAUAUAAUGCUCAAGAAAUUUAAUUAAAUCAAUCUCUGUAAAAGGCCCCUAAGAAACCCCUGCCUUGAUACUAAAGCUUUUGCUAGACCUAUAAGGUGUUUUCCAAUUUUCCACCGCAUUCACAAACUCUGUCUUCUACUUUUUUUCUUACUUCUCUCUACCACUAUUUCUUUCUCGUUUUCUUUGUUUUCACUUGUUGUGCAACUUAAUGUCCUAUAUAUAUACAAGGAACAAGUCGGCAGUAAGUGAUUUCCUAUUGGAUGGUGUAUUCGGUUGUUAUAAACUUACUAGUAAUAGUUAUCAAUGUAGUUGCAGAUGAGGAAGAAUGUUUUUGUGACUCUUCCAAUCCCUCUAAUCCUAUUUCUUAUCUUCUUGGUGAGUUGAUAGCCUCGAUACUUAACAGAUUUUAUACUUUGACACGUAUUAACAAGAACUAUUUUAAAAACAUAUACAUAUAUAUAUAUAUAAUAGAAUAUGUAUAUAUGUAAUACACAUAUUUAUAUAUAAUAAGAAUAAUAUAUAUGUAAUAAGAUAUAAAUAUUUAUUAGAACAGUAUAUAAAAUAAUAUAUAUCAUUCUUAUUAUAACAAUAAUUUUAAUUUUCCCAAAAUAAUAUAUAUUUAAAAAUAUGUGGUUUCACAUGCAUGUCCUUUUUGCUAUAGACACUAUUACAAAAAUCGAAAUAGACAACGGAAAACUACCGUCGUCUGGAAAGUUUUCAAACAGUCGUGAAAUCGACUGUCGUCUCUUUUACAUAAAACAACGACGGCUAUUAACCAACGUCGUUAAUACAUUCCACGUAAAAAACUAUUAUAAACCGACGUGUAAUUACUAUAUAUAUAGCCUAAAAUAAAAUCUUCAACAACCUUAGACGACGGUUUUAUUAAAACUGACACGUCUAAAGAGUGUUACAUGUCAAGAUCAAAACAAGAACCGACGUACAGAUAAUUAUCCACGUCCUAAUUGAAGUAAAAUAGACUUGGAUAACCUAGAAACCGUCGUGGUUAACAUAUACUACGUUAAAUUAACAAAGGCACUUACGUCUAAAAAGUAAAAGACAACACGCGCACAAAGCAACAGACGUUUAAAGCUUAGUACAUGUCAAUAGCCGCUCAAUAACCGCAGUAAAAUGAAUUAACCACGUCCCACAUAUGGCAGAACUGUUGCUUAUGUGAUUAUCCACGUCGCGGAGUAGUAGAACAAAGACGUUGUAACCAUAUUCCACGUCUGUUUCUUGUGAGAAUUGUCGUUUAAAUUAUACAAAGAAGCCCCUUUGACAGAGUUAGACGUUGCUCUUGCUGUAGAACCGACUUCUAACAGGUUUAAAAUGACACAAUAUUACUUAAUACUGCCGUAACAAAUCAUAUCCACGACUGCUGUUGUCAAAGACUGACGUUACAAAAAAUAUUGAAGGUGUUGACAAAAAAGAACCGACAUGGAUUAUGCAUUCAACGUCGUGUGGUCUAAAAAUAAAGGACGUGGUUAAUUUUUUCUCUACGUCAAGUGGAUCCAAUUGCCUGAUGUUGUAAUUCUUUACCAUGUUGGUUUUUAAUACAUGAUGAUGUGGUUGUCCUUUUAAAAGUCGCUUGUUUUACCCUCCUUGACGUGUGUAUGAUAUGAGACGUCAAUUGUUUUAGACUAGCUGACGUGCAGAAAAUCUGUCACGACAAUUAAUGCAACUGAAUUGCCUCUAUUUCCCCCAGACGACGGUAGGUUUUAAGUGUGGAAGUAGUGUUUUACAAAAUCGUAAGUUGGAGUAAUCUACCAUCGUGUUAUUCGAGAAUAUACCACGAUCUUUGUUUUGUACUCGGUCGCUGAUGUUUAUACUACUUAAUAAACUGACAUGUUUUCAGUUUCAGACGGCGGCUUUUGUUUCUUUAUGGUCUUUUGCAUUUUUUUUCCAUGACAUUUUUGAAAGCCUAAUGUUGGUUUUAUUUUAGAAAUCGAUUUUUCCCCUUUUUUUACUGGACCGUCGUACUUUACACAUUUAAUCAAUUUUUUUCAAUUUUUGAUUCAUCGUGCCCAAAGCCUACAUAACGAAAAUGUGAUCAGAAUUAAAAUGAUGUACAAAGGUAUUAAUUAAUGUCAUACAAUUAACUGAAUAACUAAUGUCAUACACUACAACAAUCAAUCAAUCCAUAUAUCUUCACACCCAUCUUUAAUAUUUUCACUCCCAAACUCACCCACUAGGUCAUCAUAUGUGUCAACAUUUGGUAUCCCUCUAGUAAAUGUCUCACACUCAAUUCUAAUAUCACCUAGCACAUCAUCACCAAUAACAUUAUUAUAUUCUCUAUUAUGCAUUGAUAACACUACCGACCAACCACGAUGCAUUGGGUCGUCAGCAUAAAAUACUUGUUUUGGUCAUUCCUAUGUCCAAUUUUACUCAAAUCUACAAAGGUGAAUCCAAGUUCAUCGACAACAAGGCCCAAAGUGUUAUCUAUCCAAUCACACCUCAAGACAAGGAUUCUAAACUUUUGGUAGUCAAGGUCCCAAAUUUCUUGAAUAACACCAUAAAAACCCAUAUUGGAGACAAUAGAGUUUUUAUCCUUAGCACUAGCAACUUGCAUAGUAUGUGCAAGUAAAUAAACUCCACUAUUUUGGACAGUUCGCAUAUCAUCUUGUGCCUUGGUGUUAAAUUUAACACCAUUAAUAAGAUAGCUCCUAUAUGAUGGCAUUGCCAUGCUUGGACUAGCUGCUAGCCACCUCAAAUUUUAUGAUACGCCAUUAUGCUCUUCCCCAUUAAGUUCACUUUGAACUUGCAAAUUAAUCGUAUAUAUCCUAAUUCGAUCUAACAUAUAAAAAGGAAGAAAAUUAAAAGUUGAAUAUGUCAUUCAAUAACAUAUAUACUUGAAAGUGUAGCCAUUGAAUGAAAGUGCUAUUGUGCUUAUCUUGCAGCCACUUUGUUCUCUUUCUAAAUAUUGGAUAAGUGGUCUUGAUGUGGAUCAUAUGUUCCAUACAUUGACACGAAAAAAUCAAGCAUUACGGUCCCUUGUAUAUAAGAUAACAUAAGGAAUAAUAAUAUUUAAAAUGGCUCUAUAUGAAAAAUGGAACUCAUGCGUACUCGAUAUAAGGUAGGACUUCCUCAGUAUUCUCCAAGACAUAUAGAUGUGUCUGGUUCAAAAAACCCGAUCACCUAAGCUUACUGUGCAACCAGAUAAUGGCUUUGAAACUCCCAUCUUCUAGCUUGAAGGCACUCCAACUGUACUAACAUCAGAUAAAUGCUCGGUGCAAAACUCUACAACUUCUUCAGCUAUAUACCGCUCAAUAAUGCAACAUCCGGGACGAGUACGGUUCUGAACAAACCUAUUUAGCACUUUCAUAUGUCUUUCAAAUGGAUACAUCCAUCUAAAAUAUACUGGCCCAUGUAGACGAACUUCUCUGACAAGAUGUACUACUAGAUGAACCAUGAUAUCAAAGAAUGAAGGGGGAAAGUACUUCUCAAGCAAACGCAACGUAACUACUACAUCUUCUUCCAAAUUAUCUAGCUUGGAAACAUCUACUGUCUUUGCACAUAUAGCAUUGAAGAAGAAGCACAAUCGAGUUAUUGCAUACCUUGCAGGCUUCUCCAAACAGAACGAAUUGCCACAGGGAGCAAUUGUUGCAUCAAGGCAUGAAAAUUAUGAGAUUUAAGGCCAAGAAGUCUUGAAUAUUUUUAAGAUACAAGAUUUUUUUAUAUUUGAACAAUAACCUUCAGGGACUUUCAUACCAUAGAAAGAAUUGCAAACCGCUCUCUUAUCUGCUCUUGACAAAUUCUAGGGCCUUGGAGGCAAGCGAGUACGUCUUUCUCAAUACUCGGGUUGCAAAUCAUUUUUGACCCCCAUGUUCAAUAAAUCUAACCGAACAGCAAUCUCAUCUUUAUUUUUUCUAGGGAUCUCCAGCAAUGUACCAAUGAUACUAUCGCAAACAUUCUUCUCAAUAUGCAUAACAUCUUGGACAUGCCUCAUAGGAAGGUAUUUCAAAUACUCGAGAUCAAAGAAUUUUGAUUUCUUAUUCCAACAAACUCUGUCACCAUCAUUCUCAAAAACACUUCCCCCAUUUUUCGAGCCCCAUAUGUAAUUAAUAUCUUCAACCAUGUCCUAUUCAAGUUAAUGGUUCGGGAGGCGUGCCAUAUUCAAGUUUUCCAUUGAAAGCUGCACGCUACCUCCGACAUGGAUGAUUGAUUGGUAACCAUUUUUUAUGACCAAUGUAACAAAUUUUGGGGCCAUUUUCAACCUGUGACUAGGUGUAUCAUCGCCGCAUAUUGGACAAGCUUUAUAUCCUUUAACGACACUGUAACACCCCGACUCUAAAUUAAUCCCUUAUUUAAUUAUUUAAAGAAAAUUACAAAUUUACCCUUAAGAUAGGGGUAUUUUGGUCAUUUUCUUACCCGAAGAGAGUUUGGGGCAGUGACUAGUAUUUUUGGAUAGGUCGUACUGAGACGAGUUCAUAGACACGUAGUGGGCUCGAAUCGAAGUUGUAACGAGAGAGAUAUGGUCAAAAGAAACCCAAUUGCACAAUCAUAAUUAUUUCGAAAUGAGAUUUUUAUAAAAAUCAGAUUUUUUUUUCUCUCUCUCUCUCUCUCCUCGUCGGUCUCUCUCCCUCUCCUCGAAACUCCGGCCAUCGGCCACGGCUGUGGACGGGGCCGGUACCAAAAUGACCGAGGCGUUGUCCUCCUCUAAUCCCAGCUAGGUCCCGCCGUCAGCCGCCAUGGUUUCGCCGGAAAAUGGAGAAGAAGCGGCCGGCGUCGUCCGAAGUUCUCCGCCGUUGAUCUCCCUCUUCCGGUCACCGAUUCCGACGAGUGAGGUAUGGUUUCUCACCUACUUUUCAUGCUCUAGCUGCCUGCUGGGUAUGAUUGGAUUGAUUUUUAGCGUAGGCAAUUCGAUUUUCGCAUUGAAAUUCGGCUAAUUUUGGAAUCACGAUUCCGGCUAGUUCUGGUCAGUUUUUGGGGUAGAUCCAAGAACAAAAGUGGCUCCAAAUAGGGUGUUAUACCUAGGGUAGGAGUUUGGAGCCAUGGUUUUGAGAUUUUCCGGCGAUACGUAAUCGCUUUAGACACCCAACGCUGCCCGCACGUGUGGCAGUGCGUGGGCGAGGGUAGUGAAAUAGCACUAUGUCUCGAUGAGAUCCUUAGGUUGUCACGAGUGCGUAGGAUUUCGCGGAUCUCAAUUCGGACGUCGUUUGACUAUCGAACGGAUUUUCGUAUAUUGCGCGUCAUCCGGGUUCGAUAGGUUGGGACCGUUGGAUGGUCUCGAAUAAAAUAUAUGUUAAUCUAGGUAUUUCUAGGAUCAUGUAGGAAUUCACGGAUUAUAAAUCGGAGCCCCGGAUAUUCCGAAUAAAUAAUUUAAAGUUUAUGUUUUAUAAUAACCGUCACAUCGUGCGAUCGUGAGCGAUCCGACCGGCCGAUCUGGACCAAACUUACAGAACGAGUGUCCUAUACCUUGAAGAACCCAUAGGAAUUUUCAGAUCGAAAUUUGGAGGUCGUGGGCCCCGUGGGCCCAUUUGACUAGGGGUAGGGUAGUUUGACCCUUAGUUGACCGUGAGUCUCCCGGAGUAAUCUCACCUUUCCAGGGGGAUUAUCGGGUGCUAGACUGUUGUUGAGGUUUACACGAUAUUAGUAGUAAAUUAUAUAUUUAUAUACAUUUGUAAAGGUAAAAAAUAAGUCCAGAAUGUCAGUUUGAAGUGCUUUACGCACUACCUUAGGUACCUCCCCGGAUUUUAGUUACACUACAAGUACCACCCUAUGAAAGUUAGGUCCCACGUGGCGUAGGUUAUCCGGCGUGCGGACAGGCCCUAUACGUGGCAUUGGUAGUAUCGGUGUAUGGGGAGAUUACGUGAUAAUAUGUUGAGGUCACACGUGGCGUAGGUUAUCCGGCGUGUUGACAGACCCCAUACGUGGCGUUGGUUGUACCGGCGUAUGAGGAGAUAUUGUGAUAUGAUAUUCAGGUCUCGCGUGGCGUAGGUUAUCCAGCGUUGAGACAGACCCCAUACGUGGCGUUGGUUCUACCGGCGUAUAAGGAGUUUAUGUGAUAUUAUGUUGAAGUCGCGCGUGGCGUAGGUUAUCCGGUGUGUCGACAGACCCCAUACGUGGUGUUGGUUGUACCGGCGUAUGGGGAGAUAUGUGAUAUGAUGUGCAGGUCUCGCGUGGCGUAGGUUAUCCGGCGUUGAGACAGACCCCAUAUGUGGCGUUAGUUGUACCGGCGUAUGGGAAGAUAUUGUGAUAUGAUAUUCAGGUCUCGGGUGGCGUAGGUUAUCCGGCGUGUUGACAGGCCCCAUACGUGGCGUUGGUAGUACCGGUAUAUGGGGAGAUUAUGUGAAAUACAGAGAAAUGAAAUAAGGUAUUGCCUAUGUGUGGAAUUGGGUUUUAAGGAAGAACUACGUGUGGCUUGAUCCCUCAGGGAGGGUACGUAGGCAGCCUAAGGUUAUUAGGUGUAGCCGCGGACAUAGACGUGAUUGUGUUAGGAGGUUAAAACCUCGUAUGUUGAAAUUGAGAAAAUUAGAUGAUGUAUGUUGAAAUUUAGUAGUCGUAAUUUAUAUUUAAAUUUAUCGUUUGCCUUGUUUAAGGCAUGAAUUGAUUUGCUAGCAUGCUUGGUAGUUGAGAAUUAUAGAAAGGCCGAAGGCCGUUUAUGUGAAUUGCAUGGAAUUAUAUUGUGCAUGCUGCCAGUUGUAGUUAUUAAAUGUGUUUUUAUGCAGGUUGAAAUUUUGGGAAAUGUCCAAUUUACAGGGGAGACUCUGCCGAAAUUUCGGCAGAAAGUCUCGGUCUUUAGUAAGUGGGCCUGACAUCGAGGUGAUGUCGGGGAAUCCACAGGAUCCGCCUCGAUUUUUGGAAAAAUCGGGGCGGUUCCUUUCAGACACAACCAGAUAAGUUCUCAUAGGCAGAAAAAUCAUUAAUUGUUCACAGUAAUACACCUAUGAGUGUAAAGUAAUCUCCUAUGUGUGCAUCAUACACUCCUUUAAUCCCAUCCCACAAAGAUUUUAAAUCAUCAAUCAGAGGCUCUAAGUAGACAUCUAUAUCAUUUCCAUUCUAUUUAGGACCAGAAAUCAAUAAGGUCAAUAUCAUGAACUUCCAUUUCAUGCAUAGCCAUGGUGGGAGAUUAUAUGUAACUAAGAUAACCAACAAUUGUAUCUGCUACUUAAAGAACUGUGGGGAUUGAAUCCAUCAGAUGAGAGAGCCAAUCUCAAGUUUCUUGGCUCUUUACUGAACUCGGGCCAUUUAUCAUCAACAAGUUUUUAAGACGGGAAAUUCGCUGGAUGAGACAUAUGACCGUCAAUUGCUUUUCUAGCAACAUGCCAAGUCAAACUCUUAGCUGUCAUAUGUGAUUGAAACAUCCUUUUAAACCUUGGAAUUGGAGGAAAAUACCACACCACCUUCGCUGGCACACUCUUUUUCAAGAUUGAAUCUUUGCAUUCCUUCCACCUUGAGAUACCACAAGUAGGACAAUUAGUUGAAUCUUCAUAAUCAUUCCUAUACAAGAUGCAGUCAUUGGGACAUGCAUGGAUAUUCUCAUAACUCAUCCCUAAAGGAGAUAAUGUCUUUUUUGCCUCGUACAUAGAGGAAUAUAGUGUCUUUCCUUCUGGAAGCAAAUCUCCUUGAAGUAUCAAUAAUUCUAUAAAACAAACAUCACUCAUCCCAUGUUUUGCUUUCAAAUUAUAUAACUUCACCAAAGCCGACAACAUCGUGUACUUACUGCAACCAGGGUACAAGGAUUGAUCUCAAUCCCCAAUCACAUUGGCAAACUCAUAAGGAUCAAAUCCAAUAUCGCCUAAAUCAUUAUCAUCCAUCCCUACUUCUUUAGAAACAAAACUGAACCUACUUUGCUCAUCUUCUUCCACAUUUCUACUAGCAUUAGUAGUCAAUUCCCAAGGUUCUCCGUGCCAUGUGCAAAUCUGAUAGCUUUAGUCAAUUCCAUUAAAGUAUAAGUGGUCCCUCAUAAUUCCAACCCCAAACAAUCGAAUAUUCCCACAUUUAACACAUGGACAACGAAUAUGAGUUGUAUUUCCAAGAUUUUCUACAGCAAAAUUCAAAAAUCCUUCCACCCCUAACUCAUAUGCCUUCGGUCUUCUAUCCGCAUGCAUCCAUGACUUAUCCAUCUCACACACUAUAAAAUCAUAUAUAUAAUAAAGUGAAAAGACCAGCAAUGAAACACUACUUUAUUCACAUAGCAAAGAAUGAAUUGAAAAAAAAAAUUAACCAAGAAUCAGACGACGGUUUUUACAAAAAAAAUCGUCCUGUAACAGAGGGUCAGACGACGGCAUAUCUAGUUAUCGACGUCUUUAAGCUACCCAAACCCAGAUAUUUGUAUUGCUUUUUGAAGAACCGGGUUCUGGGUUCUGGUAAACAAAAGAUGACGGUAAAUGGAGAAACACCGACGUAUCCUAAAACUUGAGACGACGGUUUAUUUCACCAACCGUCGUCGUAGUUUACGAAAAACAGAAGUCUAAAUCUCCCAUCCUCAUUCCUUUUCUAAGAACCCUUAACAAAAUGCAAACAUCAAAAUAUAAAAGAGCCAUAUAUAGCUCCCAAUUAAGAAACCAAAGCUACCAAAACAUAUAUUAAUAAACCAAAGCUACCAAAAUGAACGAAAACAUUUAUGGGUUUUACAAACUAAGAGAAUAUUGAGAGAGAGCUGAGAGAAUAUACUUACAUGGAUAUUGAGAGAGAGCUGAGAGAAUAUAACAAAUGCUUGAGAGAGAGCUUAGAGAAUAUACACAAUGCUUUGAGAGAGAGCGAAAAAUUUAAGACAAAUUUAUGUUGAAGAGAGAGAAGGAAAUAUUUUAGGGUUAAAGGGAAAUUCUGAAAAUUUUAGAUCACCGUCAAAAUUUUCAAAGGACCGCGUUUUUCAAAGACGGCUAAGGAAAACUACCGCCAUUGUAAAUCAUUUUACUACGACGGUUGAGGAAAACUACCGCCAUUGUAAAUCAUUUUUAUGUCGCCUCUAUAAAAACCGACGUCUAAAAUAUUAAAUAAUUAGAUUUGGUUUGCAUUUCGUGGGAUUCUAACGUGCGUAAUUGACCAAAAAGAGCGAGAGAAAACCAGCGUCGUUUCUAUAAAACCUAAACCCUAAACCCUAAACCCUAAACUCUAAAACCUAAACACUGAAAAAAUUAACCAAAAAUUGCUAUGGACUCCUUACAACAAUGCCUUCUAUAUUAGUAGGCUAAAAUCGGGAUUAAAUAAUUUUGAAUUUUAUGACCACCAAUGGAUCACAUAAACCUUAGGGUUAUGUUUAUGGAAAGUAUAAGGAUUAUUGUGUUUUGUCUCUAAAUCUUUUUUACUUUUGUUAUCACUUGUAACUUUGAAAUCUAAAAUUAAAAUUUUCAGGCCUUUAGGGGGGAGAUAUUGUCUCAAUGUGUUUAUAGAAUUUGAGACUGCGAAGGUUCUAGCUGAUUGACUAAGGAUGAGGCAGGAUGGAUGGAAGGUUUGCUUGGAGAUUCUACCUUUGUCAGCUCUUCUGGUUGACAUGUUGUUUAUUCUGCCUGAGGAACUACUUCUAGAUUUUUCCCUUUUCUAGCAGAACUAGUCUCUGGAAGUACUUGUGUGUCAUCCUUAUUCUUGAGGAAGACGCAGUAUUGCCUUUGAACUCUCCUCUUUUGCAUUCUGGUUAGCUUCAGAGUUGGUCUUCGGCUUUUUCCAAUAGAAUAUCAUCUACCUUCUAUGAUAGUUGCAAAGGGCUUGUCAUUUCCAGGCAUCUUAACUGGUAUUUCCUUCUUUGGCUGCUCUAUUAUUCUCUUGUUGCGUUGGGCAGGCCUUAAAUAGUCCUUCUGUCUGGCUCUAUCUCUAGGUGGAGCCGGAACUAGGCCUUGUUGGUAUGAUGUUCCAAUCCUGUCAAAAACACAAGGUGUGGGCUGACUUUGCCUAACCAGAGUUACCUCUAACUCACUUUCACAUUUGCACCUGUUGCACAAAACUACCCCAGCCGAAAUGGUUGCUUUUGGUCUUCAAUUAGCCUAUCUUUGGACUCUUCUGCCUAUGCUGGGGCUAACUUUUGCUGUUAGUUUGCCUUUCUUUUGUUUUGGCCAAUUUAAGUUGACCAUGUUGACUUGAGGUUGGGGAAAAGGGUCUGUUGUUAUCGAAUGAGGUUUCUCAGCCAGUUUUAGCCUCCAUGCUGUUAUUCCUUCCUGUAUGACGUCCCUGAAAACAACACAACUAUUGGUGGAAUGGUCCCAGGAGUUAUGCCAUCUGCAAUACUGUCUGCCCUUGAGUUCCUCUAGCUUGGGCAACUUGUAGGGUGUUUCUAUUGCCUUCUGUCGCAGCAUGUCAUCAAACAGGGCAUCAACCUUGGUUAAAUCGAGGGAAUAGACUUUGUUAUGAGCUGGUUUGUUUGGAACAAACCCUCUUGUGAAUGGUGGUGGCUUUUGGUCCUUUGGUGGCUUUGUUAAAGCCUUGCAACUGAUGAGAUGUUUUAAUUUCCCCAUUUCUGCCACUGCAACUUCUCUCUCCUCCGAGCUUUCUAUGCCUUCUUCUGAUUCUACCUCAACAAGAUUUACUGAAGAGGAUGGGGUUUUGUAAUAUGUGCCUUUGAAAGAGUUCCUCUUCUAUUGUUCUUCCCUGAGCAGCUCCUUGUAUUUAGAUGCUUUGUCUGCUAGUUCUGCCAGAUCUCCAAACAGCAUCCCAUCAAAUUUUUUUCUCAGAGAGAUUUUAAGGGAGAUUUGAGCCAUUUGGAUGAAGUGCCCUUCCUCCAUAGGGAUUCAAAAUUUCAUUUUGAGCUUUUUGAACCUGGUUAUGAAGUCUUGGGCAGGCUCAUCUUCCCUCUAUUUCCAGGUUUGAGGGCAGCAAGAUCACUGAUGGUGACUUCUGGCUGAAUCCUAAAAUAGUAGUCAUGGAAGACAUUUUCCAUCUAUUUCCAGGUUUGAACAGAAUUGGCUGGUAAGCUAGUAUAUUAGAUGAAGGCUUGUCCAGAGAGAGAAUUUCGAAAAAGCCUUAGUUUUAACAGAAGGUUAUUUUCUAUGGCUAUGCACUGGAAAGAGAAUCUGCCUAUAUGCUUAACUGAUGAAGCAUGGGUGUCUUCUCCGUUGAACAAGGUGAAGUGUGGUACCUUAAAGCCCAGGGAUAGAGGUAUUUGAUCGAUAUAAGCUGGAUAAGGCUUUCUGUAGGUGGGCCUUUCUCCUCUUCUGGCCUCAGGUUCCAUCAUCUCUCUGAUCAUUCUAUAAAGUGCCCCCAUGUCAUUCAAAGCAUUGACAUGAUGCGGGGUUCGCCCCUGUUCUGGCUAGUUGUGUUCAAUCCUUUGUUCUACUUUAUAUGGCCUGGGCAGAACUUCCUCCCUAUGCUCUUCCUCUUUUUCGAAAUCUGGAUGAUUCCUUUAGUUUGCCCCCGGUCUGUUUUUGUCAUUGUUGGCAAAGGGUUUAACUCCUACUCUACCUCUCAUGCCACUUGCUAGUGGAGGGAAUGGAUUGGGGUCCAUCCUUCUAGGUCUGUAGGGCAACACAACUGGUUGCUCAGGCAGAAGUGCCAAGGCCUGAUCACGUGGGGCCACUAGUUGUGGAAUAGGUGGAGGUUCUGGCUAGUUCUGAGGGGGUCUGAACUGGUGCAGAGCCUUCUGGAUGAACUGAAUCCUCAUGUUCUUGGAUGGGAAGGGCUCCUCCCCUCUGUCCAGCUUGGAUUUCUCCAUGUCCUGGUAUUCCAGCUAUCUGUGUGAUGAGAGGCUUCUCUUCAUAUGGCCAUGCCAGUCCUGGUAGAGGUCCAAAAGGGAGAUCUAGCUGCUGGACCACCAUGUCUAGGUUUGGAAUUUUGGCAAUAGUAGCCUCACGGUCCUUCCUGAACUGCCUGUUGACUUGCCAUUACAUCAUGGUUGUCAUGUUGUUUAGAGUAUCUUGGCUCAUUUGUGCUGUGGCUUCUUGCCGAAACACAGCCUCCUGUAUCUAGUUUAACCUUCUGGAACCAGACAUGGAACGUCUACUCGUGGUACUGCCAUGGGCUGAUUACCUAGCAUCACUUUCUUUUGACUCAAGUCCUUUUCGGAGAGCUGCUUGAUCUCUUUUCAUGGCAUAGCGUGGAUUCUGGCUAGAACUUCCAAUAUUCAUAUACUAGAGGAUUUUUCUAGAAAUAUAUGUAUUGAGAAGUCCCACUGGGCGUGCCAAAUUGUUCAUCCGUUUUAGAUUUGUUCCUGUGAUGGUAGGGUAAAGUUCCUCAUUGACUUGAAAACCAUUGGUGGUCAAUAAGUCAACUUUCUUUUGUGUACAAAUGUGCCACUGCUAGCAAUAAAAACCCUAGCAGACUUCUUAAAAAUAGAAAACUUGUGCCCAAGUUAUUAACUUCUAAAUAAGCGAUUGUGAAUUUGGGCGAGGAAUAUCUCCCAAGUAAGUUCUUUUCUUUGCCUCAGAUUGGUGAGGACUUCACAAUUUUUCACAGUACAAAACUGGUAGUUCUAGCUAGAAUAAAUGAUAAGAAAGUGAACUGUUUUCAGGCAGAACUACCUUUUACAAAGCUUAAAAAGGAAGACCAACUCUAAAAAGACAAAAAGAGCUUUUGGACUUCAAUUUCUGCUUGGAUAAAUGCUUCUGAUCCGGGCUGGACUGGGUAUGUUUGUGCUGGACUGGACUAUCAACACCUUCAACUGUCAAGUUUUAGCUGUCAAUGAAUACCAAUGUUCGAGUGUGGCAAAGCUUCAAUCUAUUUCAAGCCGUGCAAGGCUUUUUGAACGGACAGAAUUGGAACCUCUUCAGUCUGGAAGGGGUAGAAGUGGCUGAAUUUGGUGAUUACUGAGCUGGAACUGCACUGUAGUACCUGUUCUGCUUGAUCAGGGCUCUCCAUAAAUUUGUUGAGGUUUUAAUAUUGGUAAAACCCGAAGCUUAUGUUGAACCAACUUUGUAACGAGAGAAAUCUUGCUUUGAAUGACUAUUUCUCUGAAACUAAACAGAAGUUAGAGAUUCUGGAAUAUAGCUGACUUGUUUCUUAUGGCUCAAUGAGCUUUUGGUUGCUUCAGUGUUUUGAAGGCUUUUGAGAUCAAGUGAUCAUUUUGAGUUUUUAUUUUUGAUUGAUUUUUUGGCUGUCCUUUUAUCUGUUCACCUCAUCUCAUAUUUAUAGAAUAUACUGGAGUGUGAUUUCUAAUCUUUUAAUAAUGGGCGGCAAAUCUUUUAAAAGAUCUUUUUUUCUUUUUUCAAUGUCAUAAGAGAAGGAAGCUACUAUUCUGACAGAGAAAGGUUGUCAACAAUCAUCUUUCAAUUUUUCUAUGUUCACUUUUUGUUCUUUGUAAAGAGAAAGAACACAAUCUACCAUGAUGGUCAGUGUGCUUUUCCUGUUGAACAACUCCCUCGUUCUCUACUUAUCUCUUGAAAACGUAGUCUGCUUAUCUCUUGGAAAGACCACCUGAUUUGGUGCAGAGCUUCUCUAUAUAUAUAUAUAUAUAAAGGGAUUUUGAUCUUCUUCUUUUGGCUGAAAAAAUAGAGAAGUCUUUCUGUAAGACCUGCCUUCAUUAAUUUUCUAUCAACUUCUCUGUAAUAGUUGAAAAUUUUGACUUUUCAAAGCCAGGUAUUCACGUGGGGUUGUUUAGAAAAGAUCUGUUGAUUUUGUCAAUCUUUUAGGGUAGAGAUUAAAUAGCGUAAAAAGGCUGGGCUAGUCUCUUUUUCUUAGUAGAUAAAAAGCCCAAAUAUUUUGUCUCACUGCCCUUUUCUGGAAAAUAAAUGGGCUGGGUGUGUUGGAAAUUGGCCCAAUCUUAAGAAAGACUCUGGUGGCUGCCCAAAAUUGACAUAGGCUUUUCUUGAUUUUGGGCUGGGCAUGCCAAAUUAGGCCCAAACAAUGCCCCUUAAGUCUGAAUUGUUUUUGGAAUAGUUUCAGACUUAAUGAUUUGGCCAUUAAUUUGUGCGCGCCAUUUCCUUCUGUUAGCCCACAUCUGCCACGUCUGCCUAUUAUGAUCAAGACUUCGUGGGAAAGUGGGCAGUUACUAGCUAGUUAUUAUCAGGUGGCGUCUUGUCUUCUUCUUCCCACGAUUUCGAGUCUUUCUAAGAAAUUUAAAAAGACCUCAGCUCCUGUUUACUCAAAACCUAACUUCUUCAGACCUUGAUUUUCCUCAGUUUUCUCAGAAUUUUUACCCUUUUCUGCGAUCAAACCCUGCUUCCUUUCAGUUUGAUUCCCCUAUCCUAGCUCAAAACCCGAAAAUGUCUUCUCCAAAAAAUCGUGCCCAGACUUCUUCUUAUUCUGUUCCUCCUACCUACAUUACUGGGGCCGGUGUUGAUAAGCAUGUGAUUGAAGUCCGGAGCAAGCUUCAUCCUUUUGCCCAGAACGUUCUGGACAAGAACGUGUUACAUUUGUUCGAGAACACUCUUGUUUUGGAGCCUCAUCGGUUUGGUUCUGUCCCGACUGAAAUGGCAGAAUUGUUUAAAGAAUAUACUGAAGCUCCUCUAUGCUUUCAGAGCUCUUUCGUAGAUUUCAGUUUUAUAUAUAAACUAUCGUGUUUCUCCCUAUAACAUGUCGUUUUUAAGAAUUGUUGUCAAUGUUUUAUUUCCUGCUACUAUAAGACGGCGAUUAUUUAUACAUAUGAGACGUGUAAAUUAGAAUGAGACGUCAGUCUUUGGGAUUUAAAUUAAGUUUUUACGAUUUAAUGUCAUUUUAGUUCAUAUAAGGACAUAAAUGUCCUAACCAAAAAUAUAUUUAUGUACAUUGUCAAUAAAUUAAAAUAAACCUAAACAUUGUUAAAAUAAAUUAGAUCACUUAUUAUUCUGUAAUUACUUGUUAACGAAUUCAGCCCAUUCCAACCUGACUUCGUCAAUAUGUUCUUAUACAUACUGAACUGGUUCCUUUUUCUUAUCAAACUGCAAAUAAAUAACAAAAACCAACGUGUUAUAAAGAUUACAACGACUGCUUUUAAAGAAAAAGUUGUGGUACUAAAAUAAAGAAUUUAUAUCUUAAGUUUUGCCUUUUACCUUCUUCUCAAAUGCUAGGCCUGGAUCAUGAAUUAUAUCUCUCAUGAAAUGCAUCACGUAAUAGCCACACUCUACAUUUGUUGGUUGUCGAGGAGUGCCAUGUAGAUUUUUCCAUAUGACUGAUUUACAUGAUGAUUAAUUGCCUGUGUGAGAGUUAUACAUUUUGAUUGAACUGUUUCAAGAAAAUGAAAAGUGUUAAUGAUAAAAAUAAAAAUCUAAAGCAAAAAUAUUAAACGUCGUGGUAAAUAAGUGAAGACGAUGGUUUUGUUAAAAAAGUGAUGUUGUAUUUCAUUUCAAACGUUGGUAAAUAAAAACCGUCGUUGUGUAGAAUUCUAACGUCGGUGACGAUGAAAAAUGACGUAUAACCAAAAAUUGUUUGUAAAUGAAAGUUGAACAGAAAAAAAUAAAACUUCCUUAAAUGAAAAACACAAACGACGUGGUAUUUCAAUUAAAAUGACGGUUUACAGAAAAUACUGACGUUGUAAAUGAUUUCAAACAUCGGUUUGAAGUUACCAUCGUGUUUUCAUUGUAACGUCGGUAUUAGAAAAAGCCGUAUAUCAUUCAAAUGCAAAUAAAAAAAUGUUAGAUUUUCAUAGAUAAACUUACAUAUUCACUAUAUUUCUCAUGUCCUCGUCAACAACGCGGUUUGGCAAUGAAUCCAUGUAAUAGAUAGUCUCCUUCGCUGGUCUCACAAUUAUUAACACCCAAUGACCCCUACACAUAAUGAUCCAUAUAGGUUAAAUAUACUAGAAAGAAAAAUAGGCAUCAAGUAUAGUUAAGGGGACUAACCUUGGAUUACAAGGCACCAUGUAAAAUUGAUCCCCAUUUGCGUUUUUCAGGCGGUCUGAGAGAUGUUUCAAACGGUAAGAUAACGUUCCAGAUUGAGAGCUGACUUGUCCAAGGUCCACGAAGCCAAUAAGGUUUACCAUAUUUUCUAUUUUUAAAUAGUCAAAUAGGCACCUAAAUAUAUGAAAUUCAAUUAAAUGAGAUUUUAACUUUAAAGAAAGGAAAUGUAUAAUGCAAUCACUGUGGAUCCAAUCUCAACCAUGGAAGGAAAUUGUAAAAUAUCUUCACACAAGAGGAAGGUAUCAUGGUUAAUGCCAAAGGCUUCCUCUGGAAUGUGAAUUCUAAUGGUCUCGUUAAUGGGCUUCAACUUGGUCUCGACAAAUUGAAAUAAGGCUAACAGAGGAGGUGGCAUGUCUAGCUUUGAGAGAUCCUGUUACAACAAAUAAAUAAAGAAAUAUAAGUUAGUUUGUACACUAAGUAAAAUAAACGACUCUAACUAAACCAAUCAAACCGACGUGGUAUAUAAUAUAAUCGACAGUUUCUAGAACAUACUGAAGGAGUAAAGGUUAUAGACGACGGUAAAGACAUAACCAUCGUUAUGUAAAUGUUCUAACGUCGCUGCAUUAUGGAAAGGUCGUCUAAUUAAAAUGCAGUGAAGCCUUUAUUGAAAUACACGACAGUUUAUAAAAUAAACACCGACGUAGUAAAAUACUGAGACGACGGUUAUCAGCAACGUCUAUUUGAAAUUAUAAAUCAGAAAAAAUCAAAUAUCAAAGAUUUUACCGUUUCAUCUUGCCAUUGUUUAGCAACAUCAGCAUCAUUCGUGGGAUUUUCUUCCUCCAAAACAAGGGGUCUCACAUUAGAGCAGCUUGCUUUGUCAGACAUUAGAUUUUUUGGAGUAAUUGGAGUUUUAUUGAGCAAGUUGGGAUCACAGUUGGGAAUUAGUUGACUGAAUUGUUUCAAUAAAAUUUCCCUCUCUGCUCUGACUGCCUCCAAAACAGUUUCUUUUGCCUUAGCUUUAAUCUUUUUGGUUUCUUCUCUCACUGCCUCCAUAACACUUUCCUUCAAUUUGUUAGCAAAUUUUACUCUCUGCUGUCUCGACAAAUUGAAGAAUUGAGUUGGGGAAACCCCAGCUCCAACACCUCUAACUCUCCCACCAUGCUCAGGGGUUCCCAAAGCCAAGGUCAAAAUAUCGUUGCUCUCAGAGACAGCAGAGUGCCCUCGGAAACUUGUUUUUUCAAAUCAUCCUAAAAGUGAGAGAGAGAGAGAGAGAAUGUUAGUGAGUGAACAGAUAGUAAAACAGAUUAAAUAAACAACUAUACAAAAAUAUUAACCGACGUGGUAAAGACUUUAAAAAACUGAAAUCAAUCCCCAAUAGUAACAGGGACCAUGCAGCAACGAUUUGGUUGACAGUAGUAUAGGUUGGAGAUGCUGUUGAUCAUUAGAUACUAUUUUUUUAAAUAUCAAUUCUGUAACAUCCAGACCUAAAAAAUUAAUGAUUUUGAUUUAAAAUUAAAUUUAAAUAAGCAAUUACGAAUUUACCCUUGGGGAAGGGGUAUUUUGGUAUUUUUUUUUUAUUCAGAAAGAGUUUGGGGCAGUGACUAGUAUUUUUGGGUAGAUCGUACUGAGACGAAUCCGUAGACACGCGGUAGGCCUGAAUCGGAGUUGUAACGAAGAAACGGUGACCAAAAUUAGUCCAGUGGCAAACUUGUAAAUAUUUUGAACUUGGGUGUAGAAAAAUCUGAAACUGGCUUCCUCUCUCCUGCGUGCACACGUCCUUCUCUCUCUCUCCUCUCUCUCUCCUCGAUACCAUCACUCUCUGUCUCUCUCUUCGAUUCUCUCAAUUCUGGCCACGGCAAGGGCCGGGACUGGUUCCGAUCAACUCCUCACAAAGCCCCGAACCAGAACCACCACUUUUCUUGGCCGGAAAGCUCGAGUUUCGCGUGGUAAUCUCGACUGGUUUGAACCAGUUUUCCUCCGUCAUUGUGCCGCCGCCAUCGCAGCCCAAUCUCGGUUAAACAAGUGAGGUUUCUUACUCUUUUUCCGAGCUCUAGCUGCCUGUUGGGUAGGAUUGGAUUGAUUUUUUGUCUAGGAUCCCGAUUUUGAAACCUAAGUUUUGACGAAUUUCAAAGUGAAAUUCCGGCCGGUUGCCGUCCUAAUUAGACCUCCCCGUAGUUGAAUAAAGUGAUCCUCGCUUCGAGUAGUAGCUAAGGUAGGAAUGGUGAAUUGCGGUGUGGAGUUUUUCCAUCACUGAAAAUUACUCUACACAUCCACGCGUUGCCAGGGCAUGUGGAGGCGCAUGGGCAAUGUGGUGAGACCACAUUUUAUCCUGAUGUAGUCUCCUAGUCCUCACGUGCGCGUAAGUGUGCUCGAAUUUCAAUUCGAAUGUUGUUUGACUAUCGAACGGAUUUAUGCAUAUUGUUUCUUAUCCGGGUUCAAUAUGUUCGGACCAUUGGAUCGAGUCCAAAUUUACGUAUGUUAAUCUAGGCACCCCUAGGAUCAUGUGCGAAUUCGCGGAUCGUGAAUCGGAGCCCCGAAUGUUCCGAUUCAAUAAUUUGAAGUUUAUGGUUUGCGAUAACCGUCAAUUUCUGACCAAACCUACAGGACGUGUUUCCUAAACCCGUAGUCGGACCUUAGAAUACUCGUUAUGCGUGCACGCACCGGGAACUUGAGAAAAUUAGUAUUUAAUUUGUAAAUUCCGUUUUGAAGUGAUUUUUUAUUAAUUAAGGGUGCGUAUCUCGAAAUAGGUGCUCCAUCACUAGCACGCAGCAGGUAGGACCCUCUUGAGGUCAGGCAGUGUGGGACUACUUGUGAGUGGACAUUUAUUUUAUAUAUGCAUUAUUUUCAAUGAUUGAAAGAAUAUGCAUGAAAUAUAUAUAUUUUUUGGAAUAAAGAUUGAGAAAUUCAUAUGUUGUUAUAUCAGUAUUAUUUAAUUUAGAAUUUGGUUUGAUUUGAUGAUGAGUUAUAUAAAGGUCAAGUUAUUCGUGAUUAAGUCUUGGAUGAAUUUUGGGGGAAUCGGGAAUUGAAUAUUAUGGUUUAUGGUGGGAACUUAUAUGAUUACACUGUGUGGAGUACCAUCCCCUAGUUACUAGGCUUCCCACAUGUGGCGUUGGAAAUUUUCCAGCGUGUGAUGAUGUAGUCUGCACGCAUAGGACUUAGUAUUGGAGCUACACGUGGCGUUGGAAUUUCCGGCAUGUAAGCUAUGGAGUUUCGUCCCCCGGUUGGACCGCUCAUCCCUAGACGCAGGAUAGCAACUGAAAAUCUUGCGGGUUAGCCAAACAAUCCCCCGGUUGGAUUGUUUCCCCGGUACCUAAGUAGUGUGAUAAAUAUUAUGUAUAUUUAUAGAUAUAUAUAUUUCUAUGUGUGUGUGUGUGUGUGUGUGUGUGUGUGUGUGAGUAUAAAUCAGUUAAAGUAUAUGUAGUGGUUGGGUAAGAGCAGUAUAAAUUUUGGGGAUAAAGUUUAUGGAUAGAGUGAUUGAUCUCAAAGGGUUUCGGAGAAUGAUGUUUUUGAUCAUUAAAUAAAAGUUAUGAAUCUGCAUGUCUUGAGCAUUAUUUUUAGACGGUGGGGUUAUUAUGUUGUUUUGAAUGCAAAUUUUGUUUUUCCACUCACAUGUUUUCUGUUUUGCGCCCCCCAAACAGUAGUCGCUCAAGGGAGAGUUGCAAGCCAUGUUCGAGGCCCCGAACUGUGAACAUCAGUAGAUUAGGUUUCGAGUAAUUUCUUUCUACUCAACUGGAUGUUCUUGUAAACUAAAUUCGUUAGAUGCUCUAUUAUUGCCCCUGUUAGGUUUUACUUGUGAGGCCAGAGGCCAUUUAGUUUAUACUGUUGAAUAAUAAAUGCAUGCUGCUGGUUGGGAUUAUAUUGUGCUUAUGCAGGUUGAAAUUUUUGGGAUUGUUCAAUUUACAUGGGAGACUCUAGCAAAAUUUUAGUAGAGAGUCUCGGUUUUUAAUAAGUGGGCCAGGCAUCGGGGUAAUGUCGGAAAUAAGACUGGAUUCGUCCCGGUUUCCGAAGAAUUCGAGGCGGGUCCUGUCAAGUUCCUCCUAUUAACAAUAAUAAAUUAAAUAUUUAUAUAACUGAUAACAGUUCCUCAUAUUAACAAUAAUAAAUUAGUAUUUUGUAUAAUAAACAUGUUUAAUGAAAUUCAUCUUCUUCUAGCAUGUUUAUUUAAAUUCUAAGUUUUCUGAAGAAAAAAAAAAAAAAAAAGGAGAAGGAAAUGUCCUAAAUUAAAUCUUAAAAGUUCAUUUUUUUCUGUCCCUAUAUAUUUUUUACCCAAUUAUAAUUUGAGAAAAAAAGGUGAAUUAACUGUCAUUUCACCUUCAUCAUUUUCAUGAUUUAUAUAAGAUUCUUCAAAGAUCAUUUCCACAAAAAAUUACUUAAAUUCGAAUCCAUUUAACCGUCUAAUUAAAUCGUUAGGACCGUUGAAAUAAAAUUUAAAGUGAGUUUAAAGUGAGUCCUACUAUGUCUCCCUCAAAUAAGAUCAUUUACAGGAUCUGUCGAGUCAUAUGAGAAUGUUUAGCUUUUCGAUCCCAAGAGUUUGGUUCGAUUUUCAUAUAUAUAUAUAUAUAUAUAUAUAUAUAUACAAGUCAAUUUACUUUAAAAAGUUCACCAAAUUUUAUUUUUGGUCUCGGUAGUUUGCUUGAGGGCCUUUUUCUGUCAAUCUAUUUGUUGUGAUUGAAAGAUUUUAUAUAAAACAAAAGAUAUGUUUUUAUCUUAAAAAAUGCUUAUUUUCAGAUCUUUACAUAUAGACAUACAUAUGGCCUGAGAAUUCAAGCAAUAAAGACAUAAGCUGAUGAGCAUUCAUAAUCAUUAGAAUGAGUACUGAAUGGUCAACUCUUUCAAAAUACUUCGGAAAAAAACAAAGGACAAUACUUCCUUCCUUACUCAUAAGAAGGAACUCCUUCUCACCUUCUAUUGUCCCUCAACCACAAAGUAACAAGUGUUCUCUUUUUUUAAUUGUCAAUUUUUUUUUUUUCACUUUUACUGAACCCCUAGCUUUUUACCAAAGCAAAAAACACAAAACAAUAUUCCCAUUGUUUUUUUUUUUCAUUUUGAUUUUUUUCUCAACUUUUUGAAAAAUAACAUUUUUCCUUCUUCAGUAAAAAAUUGAAGUCUUUGUGGUUAAAAGCUAAGGUUUCAGUAAAGGUUUAAAAUAAAUAAAAAGUUUUGACAAUUCAAAAAACAGAACACAUAUCACUUUGUGGUUGAGCCGCAAUAGAAAGUAAGAAAGAAUUCCACCUUACCCAUAAGGAGGGAAGUAUUGUCAAAAAGAAAACAUCUUAAAAAACACACAGAAAACCCACCAUCACUACUUAAAAGAAGUAGAGAAGUCCAACAUUCUGAUUUUUAUACACCUACGUGACGUGAGCAUUCAAUAAUCAUCCUACACAUAUGUUGAUGUGAGCAUUCAAAAUCAUUAGAAUGAUUUAAUUGAAGACUCAACGUACGGACGUCUUUUUCACUUAGAUUCCCUUCCUGUACAAACUUGAAUCAGUUCCUCCACGACCCCAUCAAUCUCUUCAUCCUCUUUCUUGUUCACGUUGUCGCUUAUUUUCAAUGCCUUUUUUCUCACUCCCUCUCCAAAUUUCUCCACAACCACAUCUCUAAUCACCUUUGCGACCUCUUCUCUUUGCAAACUUCCUUCACCUGUUCUCUUAACCUCCACACCAACACCCACCUCCUCCACUAGUCUAGCGUUGAUCGGCUGGUCAAGAUGCAUAGGCAUGGCUAUAAUUGGAACACCAAACUUGAUGCUCUCCAACACUGAGUUCCAUCCGCAGUGACUCACAAACCCCCCAACACUAGAAUGCUGCAGUAUCUUUGCCUGUGGGGCCCAACCCUCCAUUAUCACUCCCUUCUCUCCCACCCUCUGUAAAAACCCUUCUGGUAACACCUCUUCAACCCUAGUACUUCUCUCCUCCUUAGAAAAUCUUAUAACCCAAAUGAAGCUCACUUUGCUAAGCUCUAAUCCGUGAGCUAUCUCUUCUAUUUGCUCCUUGGACAGAAAGUACUCACUGCCAAAGCAAACAUACACAACAGAAGACCUUUCCAUUUUGUUCAGCCAUUUCAUGAUCCAUGUUUCCUCAUCAACUUUUUGAUCCAUUGGCUCUUGAACAAGCGUGCCAACAGGCACGAUCUUCUUCCCCGUUAAAUCAGAGAGAUAAUCAAUAUAUUUUUCUUCAAUCUCGCUGGAUGUCUUGACCAAAAUGAUGUUACAAGAUCGAGCACUGCAUUGCUGAACACGGUCUCCGUCUUUGAUGCCAUUUGCUGAAGAUUCCAACAAAUUGUUGAACUUUUCAGCUUCGUAAUGUUGAAGAUAAAUCGAAGGAAAAGGAAACUUGACACUAGGGUUCUUGAGAUGUUGAAUACUAAAUGAAGUAAAGGCAGCACCCAUGGUGGUGAAUUCAAUGGAUGGAAAAUUUUGCAAUGAAGCUAGAGAGGGCGCCCAUGGUUGAAGAACAUCAUAUAUGAGCAAAUCUGGACUUAGGGUUUUGAGGAUGUUGGAGAAGUUGUUGCUGGACAUGCUGAAAGCCGUUUUGAGAGUGGACAUGAGAUGGGGAGGGAGGCCAUUGGUGGUGUGGUAGUGCGGUGGGAGUUCAGGCAAGUCAUCAUGUGGAAGAUGGAGUUCCACAAAUUCAAUGCAAUGAGAAUAUUUUUGGGAGAGUUUAGGCUUGAUGGAGCUGAGAUUUACAGGCGUGGAACAAAUAAAGAUGUGAAAAUUUCUCUUGGUGGUCAGCUUCUUGGCUAGCUCUAGGUAGGGAGAUAUAUGGCCGUGAGCUAGCCAUGGAAGCAAAAGAAUAGUAAGGCUUCUUUGGUCAGAGAAAACCAUAUUUUGUUUUCCUUUGACUUGUUUUCCUUUGACUCUUUUGCUUGAGGUUGCUCGAUUAUAGGCUUAUUGGUAGUUUGUUUGUGGCUAGCUCUAUGCAUAUAUAUAUAUAUAUAUAUAUAUAUAUAUAUAUAUAUAUACACACACAAAAACGCGUGAUGAUUGGAACAUGCACACGUAAGUUCCAGAGAGUGAUGAUUGGCCUAUGAUAAAGACUCGAAACAAGAAUAGUUUAAAUUUUCUUCUUUGUUUGGCUUGAUAUAAGACGAAUGCACCAAACAAACCGACUAAAUGCCGACACAAUAAUUAGGUACGUAAUAAUAUCAACUUUCAUUAUAUAGAUCUGAGAAACAAAAAGUUGAACUUUGAUGACAAGCGAUAUUAAGGAAGGGCACAAUCGAACUUAGGAUCUCGAAUGUUGAAGUACAUGCUCUUAACAACUUGAGCUAUAAGGUAUUUGUAAUGACAAUUUAUGGUUUUAAUUAUACUUUUGAAUAGUUGCUUCCUUCUCUUUCAUUUUUAUUUUUAUUUGUUUAUAUUUAACUCUAAUUUUAUUUAUAUUUCUGGUCAAGGUAUAAAGACUUUGAAUCUCUCUCCAAUUAUUUUUCACAGCCGAAACUCCUUUAGUUUCCACAAAUCUUUUUAAACAUUUCAGGCAUAUGUAUGUUUCCGAGUCGGAUGGUUCACGUAACCAAGAAAUUUAAACUUGUUUUUGUUUGUUCCUCCGAAGAAAGCACAACAAAAGGACAACCUACAACCAAUACUUCUCAUUGAAUUUGUUGCCGUGAAUGAUUAGGACUCUGCCCAAACUAGUAGUUGCGUUUCUGAAUUGUUUGAAAACACAUAUCAAAUUAUGAUUUCUCCUCCCCGAAAGAAAAAUUGACGUAGAAGUAUCAUGAUCUUGAUGACACAAAUUAGAAUCUAGGGUUUUCGAAGUGCCUAAUGGACAACUACUUAUUUAGAAAUAUAUAUAUUUUUGUGGCUAAAAUUUAAAUUUAUUAUAUAUAUUCUCAAUGCAGAAACACAUAAAUCUAAGUUCGAAUUCAUCCUUUUUUUGUUUUUUUUUUUUUGUUUUUUUAACCCAGAAGAAAAAUUGAGUCCCACUCUGCUGUGUAGAAUGCGCGUUUAGUAUAGAUUUUUUUAUUUUUGAGUCUCUUAUCUGGUUCCCGAGCUUCUACAUUUAGGUCUCGUGUAUUUAUCUGCAUUUUCUUAAAUCUAAAUCACUCAAACAAUCUAACCACUUAACAAAUGACACGUACUCAAACUUAAAAUCAGAAUGGAUGGAGUAGAGGCUUACACCGAUGAUUCUUGGUCAAGACUUGAGAGACAGAUGGAGACGAGGCAUGACAUAAAGUCUGAAGAAGAGAAACGAGGAAGCUUCAUUUAGAUGGUGGUGUAAGUGCAUACGUAAAGUCCAGAUUCAACAGGAAAGCAUCUUAAACGUAAAGAAAAUAAGUUUACCAGAAGCAAAAGAGAUACUGAAGUAAUUGUUUAUCAACUGAACUUAAACGAAAUAUUAACUCUUUGUUGUGCCAUAAGCACAAGAUCUUAUGAAAAAAAAUUCAAGAUAAACCAUAUAAUAUUGGGAGAUUCACGUUUAUACCGAAUAUAGGAAUUCAAAUUAUAAAAUAAAUAAAUAAAUAAAAUAAUCGAUAUGAAAUGGACUUUAGAAACACACACAAAGCCUAUUUACAACAUAACAAAAAGGUUUUUCCCUUCUUUUAAAUUACAAAACUGCCAUUGAUUUCUUAAAACAAACCCAACUCCAAAACCUCAUUAAAAAAGCACAAAACACUCAAUAGGGUGUCAAAGUAAUUUAAUAAUAAAAAAUAAAUUCAAUAAGGCCAAUUGAAUUUUUUGGAUUUUUUUUUGGGUUUGUUUAUAGAAAUUAAUGGUGUAGGGUUUAUCUAUAUUAUUGGUGUUAAGAAUGAAUAAUGACUAAAUAUCUCUAUAAUAUUUUCUAACUCACAAAAUAAUAUAGAAAAUAAAUGCAAGAACAAGAAAAUAGCAAUAUGCAAUUUAACGAAGCUGCUUACAAUCAGUGCAAAUGAGCAAACAAAUUCGCUAUUAAUUUAUGAAGUGUUUUUGUAUUUACAAUACCGCCUCUUGAAUGUCCACCAUACAAUAAUAUAGUUGCAUCAUUAAAAACUUUACUUGAAAAAUCGUUUGGGACAAAACUUAAGCUAAGAGAAAAAGAGUGCAACACAAAUGAUAUUGACAUCACAUAUGUCUCUCCUACAGAGUGAGCUUUGGUGAUGCUUGUAUAAAAAUUGCUUUCACAUCAUUAUUGGGAGAUGUAUGUAUGUCAUCAAUCAUUUGAAUCUUGUUGAGGUUAAAGUAAAACCAAAAAAAUAUCAAGGGCCAUUUUCAUAUAGUUUUUCACAAUAAAAAUUAACAAAAUAACUUCAUGUUCUUUAAUAUCAUCAAAAAAAUAAUAUAAACAAACUCAUAGUUUACCUUUUCAAUGAUAAGUGUUUGGAAAAUUUACAUGGAAUAAUAUUUGGUAUGCUAUGCUAGCAUCUCAUAAGCUCUUCAAGAGACCUAAAUUUUAUGAUAACUUCUUAAAAAAAUUUGAAUACUUUUCAACAAUAUUAAACUUGAAUUCAAACUCAUAAUUCAAUCAAAGUACUCAUUGAGGCAAUUUAGAUCAUUUUCAUUUUAAGAAAAUUGGGUGCAUACAUUGAGCUUCAUGCCCUUUACCUUCUUAGAGAUUUUCUUCGAGCAAUUUAUAUUGCAUGACAGAUUAUAUCUCUUAGAAUUUGUUCUUAUGUAUUCUUCAAGAGAUCUCUUCUUGCAAUAUGCUUCAAACACUUCAUAAUCUUUAUAGAUUUUUCAUGUAGAUUUAAGGUCUCCAUGAAUAUUGAGAUUGAAACAAGGAGUAAAAUAAAAGUUUAAGAAAAAUUUUCCCUGAUUAUUUUGUAAUUAUAAUGUUGGUGAAAACCUAAUUUCCUUUCUGAAAUUUGUGAAAUUUGUUAUUUGGCUAAGCUAAAAGUAUAAUAUUGACAAUAAAACGUAUACGAAAGUUUCUCUUUGGCUGGCUUCUUGGCUGGCUCUAGGAAGGGACAUUGCGGCCAUGAGAUAACCAUAGGAAGCAUAAUAAGAAUGCUUGGAUGCUCUGAACAAUCCAUUUUCUGACUCUUUUUCUUGAGGCGGUUGUUUUCUUAGGCCCAUCAGAGUUUAUGGUCGACAGAUAAGCUUCAAACACAUGCAUUGGUCGUGUCAGUUGCGAUAAACUCUUCCCAACAAUCUGAGACUCACAUCACUCCAAACACAUAAAAAGAAGUGGAAAUUUGCUAUUCUUUGUCUUUGUUUGGACAGCUAAUAGCAAAGCAUUGGAAACAUCGAAAAAAGAAAGUUAAUUAAUUUAAGAAAAACAAAGAAAUCCUUCUUUUUUUUUCUUUUUUUUUUCAGCAAACCGAAACAUAAAAUCCGAAAAAGAAGAAGGCAUGUCCAAAAUUACAUCUUGAAUUUAUUUUGGAGAUUCACUAUUAUACUCAAAUUAUAUAUGAAAUAAAUUUUAGAAACACACAUGACGCCAAUUUACAAUAUAACAAAAAAACUUUUAACUUCUUGUAAAUUACAAAAUUGUUAUCGAUUUCUUAAAACAAGCCUAAUCCUAAAACCUCAUAAAAAAAAAAUCAAAACACUCAAUAAGGCAUCAAAGUAAUUUAAUAAUUAAAAUUAAAUUUAAUAGGGUCAUCUGUCAUUUUUUGGAUUUUUUUCGAAGUUGUUUAUAAAAAUUAAAAUAAUGUAUAGUUUGUUUAUAAAAAUUAAAUGAUGUAGAGUUUCUUUAUAUAAUUAAUGUUAAUAAUGAGUAUAUGAAUAAAUGUCACUUUUCUUUAUUAACCAUUUAUAAUAUAUGAACUCAAGACUUCCUAUCGAACACCGAAUGGUCUUUCCAUUCCUUGUUAAUUCAAAGUCUGAAAAUGUUCGGUGUCAGCUCAUGAAUUUAAAGGCUUAAAGGCUCAAAACUUGAACGAAUAUGAAAGAAAAAAGUCGUUCACCGUUCAUCCUCUUCCUGCAGCUGUGCAUGCUAAUCACCCACUGAAUUAAACAUACAAAUACGCUUUAUGUUUUCUCAAAUUGUUCUUUGAACUAAGUAGAGGUUGGAAUACACUCGGGGUCAACAUUGUUCAAAUACAAAACACUUCUUAAUUUUAUAUUUUAUCAAAACAGAUCGAAACUUCAUUCAAACUGAGAACCUAGAUUACAAAACUACCAGAAAAACUGGAAUCUGCACUGUGGCCUCAUUAAAACCUUGCUUUAAAAAACUCCUAAAAGAGGAGAAUUCAGUCAAGAAAAAAGAGUACCACAGCAAGUGAAAUCCGAUAUCAUACUUCAUUCCUUUCUCAUACAAAGUUGAAUCAACUGCUCUACCACCCCAUCUAUCUCUUCAUCCUCUCUCUUUUUCAUGUUGUCUCUCAAUUCCAUUGCCUUUCUUUUCAAACCCUGUCCAUUUUCUUCCACCACCACAUCUCUGAUUACUUUUGCUAUCUCGUCCCUUUUCAGCCUCCCGUUCUCGUUGCCGCCUCCUCCCAUUCUCUUAACCUCCACACCAACUCCAACGUCCUCUACUAUUCUAGCGUUAAUAGGCUGGUCAAGAUGCAUAGGCAUGGCUACAAUUGGAACGCCAAACUUGAUGCUCUCCAACACUGAGCUCCAUCCACAGUGGCUCACAAACCCACCAGCACUAGAAUGCUUCAAUACUUUUGCCUGUGGAGCCCAACCAUCCACUAUUAUUCCCUUCUCCCCCACCCUCUCAAAAAACCCUUCUGGUAAUACCUCUUCAACCCUAGUACCUUUCUCUUCCUUAGGAAAUCUUAUAACCCAAAUAAAACUCACUUUGCUAAUCUCUAGCCCAUGAGCUAUCUCUUCUAUUUCCUCCUUGGAUAAAAAGUACUCACUGCCGAAGGAAACAUACACCACCGAAGAUCUUUCUCUAGUGUUUAGCCACUUCAUGAUUUUUGUUUCCUCCGAAUCCACUUCUUGCUCUAUAAGGUCUUGAACAAGUGAACCAACAGGCACAAUCUUCUUCCCAAUUAGAUCAGAGAGAUAAUCAAUAUAUUUUGCUUCAAUCUCUCUAGAACUCUUAACUAAUACGAUCUUACAAGAACGAUCGCUGCACUGCUUAGCACGGUCUCCAUCACUGAUGCCAUUUGAUGAAGAUUCUAACAACAUCUUGAUCUUACUAGUCUCGUAAUAGAUUGAAGGAAACGGAAAUUUGACACCAGGUUUCUCGCCAUGGUGGGUACAAACUGACAUCAUGGCAGCACUGGUUGUGAAGAACUCGAUGGCUGGAAUGUUUUGUAACAAAGCUAGAGAGGGUGCCCAUGGUUGAAGAAAAUCAUAAAUUAGCAAAUCCGGGUGUAGGGUUUUGAGGAUGUUGGAGAAGUUAGGGCUUGCCCUGUCGAAGGCGGUUUUGAGAGUGGACAUGAGGUGGGGUGGGAGGCCAUUGGUAGUGUGGUAAUGAGGUGGGAGUUCAGGCAAGUCGUCAUAUGGAAGAUGUAGUUGCACGAGUUCAAUGCAACGAGAGUAUUUUUCAGAGAGUUGUGGCUUGAUGGAUCUGAGAUUUACAG
rnacentral:lncRNA from 1 species